UACGUAGGGUGCAAGCGUUGUCCGGAAUUAUUGGGCGUAAAGAGCUCGUAGGCGGUUUGUCGCGUCAGCUGUGAAAACCUGGGGCUCAACCCCGGGCCUGCAGCCGAUACGGGCAGACUAGAAUUCGGUAGGGGAGACUGGAAUUCCUGGUGUAGCGGUGAAAUGCGCAGAUAUCAGGAGGAACACCGGUGGCGAAGGCGGGUCUCUGGGCCGAUAUUGACGCUGAGGAGCGAAAGCGUGGGGAGCAAACAGG
rnacentral:rRNA from 1 species